GACAGAGGGGGCAAGCGUUGCUCGGAAUCACUGGGCGUAAAGGGCGCGUAGGCGGGAUGGCGAGUCGGUCGUGAAAUCCCUCGGCUCAACUGAGGGGGGUCGGCCGAUACUGCCGUUCUUGAGGGAUGCAGAGGAGACUGGAAUUCCCGGUGUAGCGGUGAAAUGUGUAGAGAUCGGGAGGAACACCGGUGGCGAAGGCGGGUCUCUGGGCAUUCCCUGACGCUGAGGCGCGAAAGCGUGGGGAGCAAACGGG
rnacentral:rRNA from 1 species